rnacentral:rRNA from 1 species
AUUGAACGCCGGCGGCAUGCCUUACACAUGCAAGUCGAACGGCAGCGGACCUUCGGGUGCCGGCGAGUGGCGAACGGGUGAGUAAUAUAUCGGAACGUACCUUUCAGUGGGGGAUAACGUAGCGAAAGUUACGCUAAUACCGCAUAUUCUGUGAGCAGGAAAGCAGGGGAUCGCAAGACCUUGCGCUGAUUGAGCGGCCGAUAUCAGAUUAGCUAGUUGGUGAGGUAAAGGCUCACCGAGGCGACGAUCUGUAGCGGGUCUGAGAGGAUGAUCCGCCACACUGGAACUGAGACACGGUCCAGACUCCUACGGGAGGCAGCAGUGGGGAAUUUUGGACAAUGGGCGCAAGCCUGAUCCAGCCAUGCCGCGUGAGUGAAGAAGGCCUCGGUUGUAAG